rnacentral:misc_RNA from 1 species
CGAAUCGUUAAGAAGCACGGUCCUCUCUUCCAAUUAUAAUAAGAUGAAAAUAGGAGGUACAUCAACCUUCAAUGAGUUUUAAUAGUUACCUGGACAUGUUUUACAAGGACAAACACAGUUGGGAUGAUCGCGUCCACACUUUCUUGGUUUUCAUGGGUCGUUUUUCAUCACUCAUUGUGACCCAAAAGAUGGUAACUGUGAUUCAUCCCAUUCCUAUGGCAGCACAGCUG